UACGAAGGGGGCUAGCGUUGUUCGGAUUAACUGGGCGUAAAGGGUGCGUAGGCGGGUUUUUAAGUCAGGGGUGAAAUCCCGAGGCUCAACCUCGGAACUGCCUUUGAUACUGGAAAUCUUGAGUCUGGGAGAGGUGAGUGGAACUGCGAGUGUAGAGGUGAAAUUCGUAGAUAUUCGCAAGAACACCGGUGGCGAAGGCGGCUCACUGGUCCGGUUCUGACGCUGAGGCGCGAAAGCGUGGGGAGCAAACAGG
rnacentral:rRNA from 1 species